UACGGAAGGGGCUAGCGUUGUUCGGAAUUACUUGGCGUAAAGAGCGCGUAGGCGGCUUACCAAGUUGGGGGUGAAAUCCCGGAGCUCAACUCCGGAACUGCCUUCAAAACUGGUAGGCUCGAGUCCGGAAGACGGGCGUGGAAUUCCCAGUGUAGAGGUGAAAUUCGUAGAUAUUGGGAAGAACACCGGUGGCGAAGGCGGCGCCCUGGUCCGGUACUGACACUGAGGCGCGAAAGCGUGGGGAGCAAACAGG
rnacentral:rRNA from 1 species